rnacentral:lncRNA from 1 species
GCUUAUAGUCUCAGCUACUCAGGAGGCUGAAGUGGGAGGAUCACUUGAGCCUGGGAGGCAAAGGCUUGCAGUGAGCCCAGAUUGCACCACUGCACUCUAGCCUGGGUGACAGAGUGAGACCGUGUCUCCAAAAAAAAAAAAAAAAAACAGACACAUUUCAAUAAAAACAUUACUGUAUAAGGUAUUAAAAUUAUGUGUUAACAUUUGAUCACCAAAGGAAAUAUAAGCAUUAUUGCAUUCUAUCUUUUAGUAUUGUUAAAUUUCUUUAUUUAGUCGAUGUUGUAUUAAAGUUAAA